rnacentral:rRNA from 1 species
AACUUUCAGCAAUGGAUCUCUUGGCUCUCGCAUCGAUGAAGAACGCAGCGAAUAGCGAUAUGUAAUGUGAAUUGCAGAUCUACAGUGAAUCAUCGAAUCUUUGAACGCACCUUGCGCUCCUCGGUGUUCCGAGGAGCAUGCCUGUUUGAGCGUCA